rnacentral:tRNA from 2 species
GCCCUCGUAGCUCAGGUGGAUAGAGCAGCGGCUUCCUAAGCUGAAGGUCGUACGUUCGAGUCGUACCGGGGGCGCCA